rnacentral:lncRNA from 1 species
CUGUCCUCUGGAUGUCUGCCCCCUGCAUUAGGACACUUCAAGUGAAAAAAAAAAAAAUCAACCAUGGAGUUCCCUGGUGGCUCAGAGAACUAAGGAUCCAGUGCUGUCACUGUUGUGACUCAGGUCCCAGCUGGGGUGUGGAUUCGAUCCCUGGCCCAGGGACUUCUGCAUGCCAGGAGCACAGCCAAAAAAAACACAAAAAAAGAUCAACGCUGAAUCAACUUCCAACUAGUUCAGCUGACAUGAGAGAAGCAAAGGAACUAUGGUGAGGCAAGAAAGUGGCACCUUGGAAAGAAAUGAGCAGCUUUGCACGGCAGCUUCUGCUUAUCUAAAUAAUGGAUGAACAUUUAAGGUGAGGGAGGAAAAGUCCCGCUUGGCUCAGAAUCCUAUUUUAAGGUAAAUUUAAGGUCUGUUAAUAUUGAAAUUCCUCUGCCAUUUGGUGAACCAGAUGGAUCCCACGUUCAGGCUCCAGGGAUCGUCCCGCCAGCCCUUCCCCUCUGAAACCCCACUCCAAACACAACCCACACGAAUGUUGAUUUCAACCAUAUUCUUUUAUAACAAACUGGGAUUGAUUCUCAGAGCGGCUGACUGAAUGCUUUAAUUUACAAACAGCUUUCCCAAAGCUGCGGAAAGCCACCAGAUGCAAAAGGAGUGGCCCUGCUCAGCCUGCUUAAUGCAGGCCACGCUGUAAACAGCACUCGGACGGGGGAGUUUCAGAAGUGCAUUUAAUUGCAUUUUCCACUUCUCGUCACAGCAAGGGAUUAAGCCGAGAUGGAACGUAAUGGAACUUGCUCCAUCCUGUCACCUGAAGGAAGGGACUGCAGAGGAAUCCAGGAUGGAGAGCUGGCAAGAAGAAACCCCACGGACCUGAUUUGAAUAAGUCUGUGAAUGAGCUCGACCCCGAGCAAAUACACCGGUUUAUAGUUUAUCUUUUCCGCGGUCAGGUUUCAGCAGUAGCCAUGCACAGGCAUCUCCCAUUUGUGAACAAUAACUUCCAUCACUGGUAAUGGAAUCUUGAUUUCAGAAAUAAAUUCUAAUGUGUAUUUUGUAUGCA